GUUUUUAUUCCUUUCCUGUUCACCACAACUGCAAAUACCAGAAAGUUCUGUGAAAAACAUGGCCCACUCCACCCGAAUUUCUUUAUACAAUGAGAGGAAACUUGCAGGUGAAAUAGACCCGUAGGCUAUUACUUUGGGAAGGAGUCUAUUUCUUAAAAAAAAAAAAAAAAAAAAAAAAGCCAACUCAGCAAAAGCUAUUUUUUGACUCAACAGGGUGAUUAAAAUGCCUGCUUUCACCAUGCUCGCCCUUUGGUUUCAUAUGUGGCCACUGUUCUCACUUUCUUGCAAGUUUCCCCCCUUGUAACUUAUUUCUGUGAAACAGAGAUUCCAUCAGGUUAUCUUGCUAAACUGGGCGUCUAUAGAUGAAAUUGAUCUUUUAUAUACUCCACCUCACUUAAAAAGUACACACACGGCUUUGAAAGCCCGUAGUUGUGUUUACUUCGCACCACCCCCACCCGCCUUUUUUUAAAAUUAAAUCGCCGCAUUCGCAAAUGAUGCUUUGCCUGGGGUAGAGUAUCUAAAACGUUAUUCGCCCGGGCAGUCCCUUGAGGCAUCGAAACCCCAACCUUGCGCAGGCCACUGGAACCCGCACCAGAAACCUCGAUUUGGAGUCCAGUUUGGAAACAAAUCCGUGCUUUUCGCGGUGAAAUGGGAACUUGCCCAAGCGAUGCAUCUGGCUUUAGAUUUUAUGGGGAAUAUGAUCUGGAAAAGGGAACGCCUGUUUCAGGCGCGGCAACGUGCCCCGCGCAGAUCCCCCGGGGCUUCCUCCUGCUCAAGAGCCCGCGGGGCCUCGGCCCGCAGGGCCUCAGCCAACCUCGGGGCGCCCGGGUUUGGAUGAGCCCCACACCCUGGCUUUCUCCCUUUCCGGCUUCGCCUGGGGUCGCUCUCCGCGGCUGACGAAGCUGUUAGACCCGAGGAGAAAGUUAAGAGACUGAAGAUCAGAUGUCCUUAAAGGGGCUGGGGAAAGGGAGAGGCUCUUCGCCGUUGGUGCCGAGAAACUCGGAUACCUCGCGCUUGCCGCGAAGCGAAGAAAACUGUCCUGGGGGAGCACCAGUGUUCCCGAGAUUUUGCCAAAAUUUGGAGAGCCCGGAGAUAGAAUUCUCAGAAAGGCCAAUGGCAUUUUGAGAAUGGAACGUGGAGUUUUGCUGGAUUUAACAGUUCUCCCUGAAACUACGUACACAUUUGCCCUUUUGCUGUAUAUUUCUUAAAGUGCUAUUUUUGUUGUGGUUUUAGUGAUUCUCAUCCAAAAACAUAGCAGUCUCAUGUCAUGGAAAAACACUGGACUGGGAGAAUCAAUUCUCGUCUCAGUCCUUCCAUUAAACAAAAAGAUUUGAGCUUUUGGAAAACCACUUUAACUCUUUGGACCUCAGCUACGCUAGCUGCAUGUCGGUCAGCCACGUAAGGUCACUUCUUUUGUCUAAUAUUUUAUGUCUUUAUUAGAACAAGCACAUUGUAGUGAGCUACAAGGAUGCUUAUCUGUAGAAAUUUGACAUCUCAAGCUUCAGAAUAGCACUGCUUUAGCUUUUAAAGUGAGUGUCAGUGUUGGCAGAGUGUAUACAUCUUAGCAUUAGAAAAGCAAAUACCAUUAACUUAUUGAACUGACAGUUUGAAAAAAAUUUUAAUGUAUUAAG
ensembl:lncRNA